rnacentral:tRNA from 1 species
GUGGGAUUAGCUCAGAUGGUUAGAGCGUCUGAUUGUGGUCCAGAAGGUCACCGGUUCGAUCCCGGUAUCCCACCCCA